AGGGAUUAAAGAAAUUUUAAGCUAUCUUGACAUAUAACUAUAGCAAAUAAGGUAAAAACAAAUAAAAAACUUAAUAUGUAGUAUUAGAAUGUGGAAGGUUAGGCCAUUGAUAAAAAAUUAUCUUUCAAAAAUAUAAUUUAAAGACAAAAGUGAUGAAAAAUCUUCUAUUAUUAAUAGCAAGAAGGUGACAAGAAAUCAAAGAAAAUUAGAAAUAGCACAAAGAAUAGGAUUAUCAAUUAAUACAAUACUAAGGUAUAUUUAUGCACCUUAUAAUUAAAUACUGUACAGAAAG
rnacentral:lncRNA from 1 species